rnacentral:lncRNA from 10 species
AUGCAGGGACACAGGCAGGGACACAGGCAGUGGGUGCCGUCUGUGAGCCUGGAGCUGGCCCUCUCCAGACGCACCAGACACAGCGUCAUGGGUGCCACGCGUACACCACGGGGUGCAGGAACUCCCCUGGGUAGCGGGGCAGGGAGAGCACUGUCUUCAGAUCCUGAGGAUAAAGCAAAGGAGACGUGUGUGACUGGCUGGUGGGUCUGUGUGGGCGGCGCCGUCGCCUGAGCCUACCCUUGGG